AAAUUCUAACUCUAAGAACUCUCUUCCAUCUCUCUAGAUUUCUCACUGCUAAACUCAUCUGUUUGAAUAUCAGAGGCCACUAGAGUGAUCCCAUAGGCUAAUUCUCUAAACCUGUCCGAUCAAUUUCUCGAACCGAGGUUGAAUUGUGUUCCUUAUGAGCUCAAAGGAGGGUUUGGUACUUUUUGGGACAAUGGAGUCGAAAUUUCAGGUUUGAAAGGAUUAACCUGGUAUGGUUGGGUGAUGACCCAUUGUGUCUAGUACUCUGCAGAGUCUAGAAACCAUUACAAGUGCACGCUUCUUAUGUACCCUAUAUCAAGACAUGGAUCCAGAUCCUUGAGUCAUGAGAGUUUGGUUGUUUGGGAGUCCUUGUAUGAUGGGAGCAGUUGAUGAUUCUGCAGACGGACCUAUAAUGAGGAGAAAUGAUGGGGCUGUCUA